rnacentral:tRNA from 1 species
GCCUGGGUGGCUCUGCCAGUUAAGCGUCUGACUUCAGCUCAGGUGAUGAUCUCGUGAUCUGGUCCGUGAGUUCAAGUCCCACAUCAGGCU